CCUACGGGGGGCAGCAGUGGGGAAUAUUGGACAAUGGGGGGAACCCUGAUCCAGCCAUGCCGCGUGUGUGAAGAAGGCCCUCGGGUUGUAAAGCACUUUCAGUGAGGAAGAACGCCUGGUGGUUAAUACCCAUCAGGAAAGACAUCACUCACAGAAGAAGCACCGGCUAACUCCGUGCCAGCAGCCGCGGUAAUACGGAGGGUGCGAGCGUUAAUCGGAAUUACUGGGCGUAAAGCGCGCGUAGGUGGCUUGAUAAGCCGGUUGUGAAAGCCCCGGGCUCAACCUGGGAACGGCAUCCGGAACUGUGAAGCUAGAGUGCAGGAGAGGAAGGUAGAAUUCCCGGUGUAGCGGUGAAAUGCGUAGAGAUCGGGAGGAAUACCAGUGGCGAAGGCGGCCUUCUGGACUGACACUGACACUGAGGUGCGAAAGCGUGGGUAGCAAACAGGAUUAGAUACCCCUGUAGUC
rnacentral:rRNA from 1 species